rnacentral:misc_RNA from 1 species
UCAUGCUGAAUGGUACUAAGCACAUUCCUCUAAGCCACUAAAGCAGAAACCCGCAAAGAAGCUGAAAAUCAACUUGUCCCAAAACAUAUUAGAAGAUAAAAGCUGCCCCUUGAAAUGAAGGAAUUCCAUUCCUUCUACAUGCUCCAAAGCACUACAAUUCCAAAGGACUUUGGCCCCCCUUUCUUCCACCAAAAUCUCUCCAAUUUAAACCCACAACCACAACAUAAACUUGAUAGGGGAUGAAAUGCUAAAGGAGUCAACAGCUUUAACACUUAACCAAAUGCAAUCUAAGGAAUAUUGCUAAAGA